GACGAACGCUGGCGGCGUGCUUAACACAUGCAAGUCGAGCGAGGUCCAUCCGGUGGCAACACCGGUGAAGACCUAGCGGCGAACGGGUGAGUAACACGUGAGCAACCUGCCCCGAAGUCUGGGAUAACACCGGGAAACCGGUGCUAAUACUGGAUACCCCCAUCUGGUCGCAUGGCCGGAUGAGGAAAGAUUUAUCGCUUCGGGAGGGGCUCGCGGGCUAUCAGCUUGUUGGUGGGGUAACGGCCUACCAAGGCGACGACGGCUAGCUGGUCUGAGAGGACGACCAGCCACACUGGGACUGAGACACGGCCCAGACUCCUACGGGAGGCAGCAGUGGGAAAUCUUGCGCAAUGGGCGAAAGCCUGACGCAGCAACGCCGCGUGGGGGAUGAAUGUCUUCGGAUUGUAAACCCCUUUCAGCAGGGACGAAACUGACGGUACCUGCAGAAGAAGCCCCGG
rnacentral:rRNA from 1 species